rnacentral:rRNA from 1 species
UACGGAGGGUGCAAGCGUUAUCCGGAUUUACUGGGUUUAAAGGGUGUGUAGGCGGACUAUUAAGUCAGUGGUGAAAUCCCGAGGCUCAACCUCGGAACUGCCUUUGAUACUAUUAGUCUUGAAUGUUGUUGAGGUGGGCGGAACGGGUCAUGUAGCGGUGAAAUGCAUAGAUAUGACCCGGAACACCGAUUGCGAAGGCAGCCCGUUAAGCAACUAUUGACGCUGAGGCACGAAAGCGUGGGGAUCAAACAGG